UACAGAGGGUGCGAGCGUUGUCCGGAAUCACUGGGCGUAAAGGGCGCGUAGGUGGCCUGGUAAGUAGGGGGUGAAAUCUCGCGGCUCAACUGCGAGGCUGCCUCCUAAACUGUCAGGCUCGAGCAGAGUAGAGGCAGGUGGAAUUCCCGGUGUAGCGGUGAAAUGCGUAGAUAUCUGGAGGAACACCGGUGGCGAAGGCGGCGUUCUGGACUGCAACUGACACUGAGGAACGAAAGCCAGGGGAGCAAACGGG
rnacentral:rRNA from 1 species